AGACCAUGCACUUGAAACCAUGCUGCUGGUGGAACAAGAAAAAUUUACUAUUCAUUUGCCCUGACAUUACUAUUCAGGAUGAAAAUCCAGGUCUCAGAGUGUGGACUUCAACUUUAUGAAAAUGGAUGCCAAAGCACAUUGACAACUAAAGAUAAGAAGUUUUCAACUUAUAUAUCAUUUUUUAACAAUCAGUAAUGAAUGGCUGGCCGGGUUAGAAAAUGAAAAAGCAUAAUAUAGUUCAUCUCUCACAUCUCCUUCAGAGUUAAAUAGAAGUUCAGUUAAAUUAUUAAGUAAAGGUUCCUUUAAGCACAGUGAAAAUAUAUUGAAGGUUAGACGGUAUCUGAGUGGAUGAUUUUCAUUCUAACUUUUUAGUAAAAUCCCACAUACCAUGCUAUAUUACAGUAUAGGGUGGGAUUUUUAAAAUUCAUAAUCAGUCAUGUAUUUAAUUUGAGCAGUAUCUAUUUGUUUGAAAGACAGUAAGUGCUUUGGAUAAGAGUGUAUCUUAAAAUCUCUCUCUUGGAAGGUACACUUAAGAAUAUCUCACCCAAUGUAGGAAUCCCCCGUAAAGCAAUCCGUGACAGUCUUCCAGACUCUGCAUGAGCCUGUUCAACAAUGGAGUAAUCAUGAACCCUUAUGGUAGCUAAUGUACUUUUAAAAACUCUAAUCAUUAGGCUAUUCUUUAUUUAUUAUUAAAGGAGUUAUUGAAAUACUGAGCAGAGAAAUAUAAUAAAGUCCAAACUACUUAGCAUGCUGUUCAAACAUUUUUACAAACUAAAUUCAAAUAGCUGCUCUAUCUGCUUCAUUGUUUACCCUUUAAAUGAGCCUCACAUACCUUCCCAGGCAUAACUACUGUAAAUAUGUCUCUAAGCCAACUUCUUUCUACUUAAAUAUGAGCAAGUUUUUAUCCUCACUGUACUUCAGUCUCUGUUAAAAAAAAUUGGUAAUAACAAGGUCCACCCAAAAUUGUGUGGAAAGGAUUCAAUGAAUAUUCUCCAAGUGUCUAGGACACCACCUAGUAUGUAUAACUAAUUUAUGCUAGGUCUUAUUGUUGCUAUUGCUGUUUUCUCAUUAAUAUUAGAAUUUUCCAUAUUUUCUUAUUGCCUAUCUCUGAUUCUAAUCCAUUAUUUUGACUAUUUUCAGCCAUAUAUUUCCUUUGACUGGAGUCAUCUUUGGCUUUUUCCAUCUUGAUUUGAUAUUCUGCAUAUUCCAGCCUGUGACUCCUGGUUUUCACCCCUGUUAGCUUCACAUACAAAGAAACCACUUAUGAACUGCACAGGCUGGACUGCCCUUCAUUCAGCCAUGAAUUAACGGUCAAGAAAUCGGACUGAAAACAAAACUGUUAAAAGUGCUACAAACACACAGGGCUAUAUAAAUGGUGGCAGUUGGACAAAGAUUGAGUUACAGAAGCAUUGCCCUGAUGGUGACUGAAGCCAACAAAGGAAGAAGAGAACUCUCAAUCAAGACAUUCAAACUUAGGCUAUGAGUCCAUCUACAAUCCAAUAUCCAUCCAUCUAACAAGUCACUCUGAUCCAACCUGAUUGUUCUUCUUCAGAAGUCCCUAAAAAGCUCUUUGAUUUCCUUUUCUCUACCACCUGUGUUAGAGACAAGUGACUGUCUCAAUCUAUAGGCUUCUUUUCUUCCUUUAUAAGUGAACCCUCUAUUUUUUAGUGAGAAAUCUGACAAUCCAGAAUUCAGACUACAUUUUCCAGCCUCUCUUUAAAAUGUCUGUGACUCAUAGAUCCAAAUUCUGGCCAAUGGUAUGGAGGUAACAUGAAGUAUCAGUUACCAAAUGA